rnacentral:lncRNA from 1 species
GAUCAAAUAACUAUUGUUGGGGAUUUGGCCCUUGACUCGCACUAAAAAAAUUAUGAAAUACAACAAUUGUUAUAAGAAUAAAUCCGACAUCAAAUAUAAAGCAGCUGCCUUGGCAUCAUUAAAAAAAUAUAUAGUUGCACAAACUAAAUUCCCGUCUGUUGAAUGACAGACUACAGAGUUUCUCAGAGAGCUCAAAUUACAAACCUGAAUGCCAUGAUUACUCCAAAUCUGACCUCGUCCCUGUAUAAAAUUCCAAAGGAUACACAUUAUGGAGGUUUAUAAGAAUGAAAGCCUCGCAAAUCAGUUUUACAUAUUAUACUGAACUUAGCGUGAGAACUAGUCUCGAAAAUACAUAACUCACUUGAAGUUCGAUCAUAAGCAGCCGGUUUGUCAGCCACUUUAUUUCCAUCUUUGAAGACAUGAUCAAUACUGCAAUAAAGUGGAAGAAUAGAUAUGCAAUGUCCGAUACAGAAAGCUAAAUACAAAUGUUCUGUACUGUGUCUUGUACUUGCACCACUACCUGCAUUUAAUUUGCAGGCAAAAGCAAACAUCAGCUGCACAUCCCCAUCUCUAGAAGAAAAAACAAACCUUGAUCCUCCAGCUUGUGUUUUUUUAAAAUUUUACUUUCGUUUGAUCAAAUACACCCUCAAAAAGUUUGAGCAAAGGCCGUUCAAGUACUUAGACUAUUACGAUAUUUAAAUAUUGUAAAAACUUGGACUAUCUAAGAAAAUCACCUGUGUUGUUCUUAGUGCCAACAGUUGAAUAAUUAUACUAAUCCAAAUUUUGGAAUUUUUUUCAUUUACUGUUUUUAUAAGCUUGUGUACUUAAUUAUUCCUCCUCUCUGUGGUACCAACAUGACACGUUAUCUCUUUAUGGAUAAAUCCGUCUAUUUGGGGUUAAACCAAAAUUUAAUCAAUCAAAUAUAAUAUGAGAUUAAUAUUUAAUGAUUGUUAUGUUUAUAUAUUUCCCCUCUUAUCCUCCCCNNNNNNNNNNNNNNNNNNNNNNNNNNNNNNNNNNNNNNNNNNNNNNNNNNNNNNNNNNNNNNNNNNNNNNNNNNNNNNNNNNNNNNNNNNNNNNNNNNNNGAGGAGGAGGAGGGGUGUUUCUGAUUUAGCUUCAUCCUCACUCACAUUAUAGUUUUAUGUGUAUCCAUCGUUAAAGAGUAGAAACCUGAUUAAAUGUAAAGAAGAUUAUGUAAAUAUGGUUAAGAUUCCAUUAAGAACUAAAACCAUAUUACGUAUUUUAAAUAUAUAUGGGUUAUGUGAGUUACGAUCAAAUAGUUAUUAUGGUUCAAAUAUAGAUCAACGCGUAUUUCAAAUUUUAAGCUUACUAUUAUUAUGACCCAAUGAAAUAAAUUACUAAAUAUAUUAAAAUUUAAGCAUUAGACUCGUAUAAAUAAGAAGUAAAAUAUUAGAAAUAUGUUGGUAGAAAGAACAGUUGUAACAGUAGCAGUAAUGGUAUCCAAACAUAUUGUCUAAUAGUAGGAAAGCUGUAAUAAAUUCUUAAAAGUUUUUUAAGAAAAUUUGUUUUCCAAACAAGAAGGAAAAAAAAAACUGAAACAUUUUCCUUACAUAUUGGUGGACCAAUUUCGCAACUUGCUGAACCAAAUUGGAAGUAGCUGCACAGAAGCUUGCUGAACCAUUUUCCUUACAUCCUUGCGCUCUUUUAGUAAUGGAACUAAGAUAUGAUUUGGAUGUAAUAUUCCUAAUCCUUAUAAUGUAACCUUAUAUGAUUAAAUGUGUAUGCUUUCAUUAUAAGUAUAAGUAUAAAAAAAAUUUGUAAAACUUAACUAGAAAAUCACUAUUCAUAAAAACACUAAAUCACUAUUCAUAAAACGUAAAGUCAACUUUGAGAAAGUCAACAACUUCGGCUAACUGGAUUAGUUAGGAAAGCUAACUAAUGAGCAGACUAGAUGCUAACUAGAUGGUAAACCAAUUUAGAGUAACCAAACUAAGUGGGAUCCGGUUAGGGUGUAGAUAAAGUAGAGGUAUUUUGGCCAUUAUGAAAAUAUGUAAUACUUACAAGCUUGUAAGUAUUGAUACUUUUUUUGAAGAGUUGGUCACAAAAUUGAGUUUUGCUAGCUCUUGGUGUGUUGUCAAGCAAUGAUAGGAGAGAUGUGGCUUAUUAGUUAUUUGAUGUGGCUUAUUAGUUAUUUGCUUUUGUGUUGUCAAGCAUAGAAGGGUGAAAUGUGGCUUUUGGGUUGCAAGUCUCAAGCUUGGUAGGCCAUUGGCCUUGUUUGUUAUUUGUGAGUGGCUUAACUUUUGGCCUUGUUUGUUAUUUGUGAGUGGCUUAACUUUUGGCCUUGUUGGCCACUUUGAUUGGUUGUGGUGUGAUGAUCAUUAAGUCUUGGUUGCCUAUAAAUAAGACCCUCAUGCCAUACUAAUAACCUGCAUUAAAUUCCAAAGCAAUUCUAAGAGAGUAUAGUAGAUUUAUAAAGUAAUAAGAGUAAAGUCAUGUUUAUGAUUAAUUGUAUGUUGACCUAAUAUAUUGCAUAAGCCAUACUGUGAUGAUCAUUAAGUCUUGGUUGCCUAUAAAUAAGACCCUCAUGCCAUACUAAUAACCUGCAUUAAAUUCCAAAGCAAUUCUAAGAGAGUAUAGUAAGAUCACAUAUAUUUGAAAGGUAGAAAUCAAGUCUCGAUUAUUUAAGAUAAUCGUAAAGUUUGCAACUUCAAAAGGUAAUUUACGACUUGUCAUAUUCUUGUUAGUUAAUCAUUAUUAUAUUCGAAAUCAUGUAAUAUUGUAUGCUAAACAUAAAUUGUAUGUUAAUAAGUAGCAAGUCAUAUGUUCAUGAUAAGCUAGCUUAAGUAAAUGUCCUAAUCGACCUAAUAAAGGAAGUAAAACAUGAUUAUGCAUGUUAGUACGUUUAUGUUGUAAAACUUGAUAAAACUAUCUACCUAAAUUGCUUCAUUAGAACAAACUAAUUAAAUAAGAUAAAGUAUGAUAUUUACGUUAACAUUAAAAUGUAAUAAAGUAUUGAAAUAAAAUUCAUACUCAAGAUUUAUUAAGUAAUAAGAGUAAAGUCAUGUUUAUGACUAAUUGUAAGUUGACCUAAUAUAUUGCGUAAGCCAUACGAAAGACAAGAAAUUAACGUAAAUUUAGAAGACGCUAUCAGGCAAAUUUUUUAACUCAUUCGAUUUAUGUACUUCCGCAAAGUGCAACGAUGUGUUUUAAAUUGUUGAAUUUCAUUUAAUUCUUUCUUUGAAUUAUGAAGUUCAUUAUAUAUUGUUAAAUAAUUUAUUGAGAAGAGUUAUUUGUCAUUUGAUUCAGCUUAACUCGAGUAUUGAGCUAUUCCUUUCGAAAUAAUUAUUGAUGAGAAAUUGAAUUAUUAUAAUUCUUUAUUUGAGUUGAAUUUAUUGUGCCAAACGGCCAAACCAAAUUGUUUUGGGGCAAAAUCAGUAGGUUAGUAAUUGAAAUGAAUAACCCUUAUUCAUGGGGGAAUUUAUGAUGUGUCGGGUAAUCGACUCCUAUAUUGUUGAACACAAAAGUUGUCAGUAUAGGUGUUAUGCAUAACAUAAGAUUUUAUUAGGUUGAUCCCCUUAUAAUAUCUACAAAGAGUUUUAAGUCUUGACGAAUGGAGAGUUCUAAGUCUUGUGACUGACAAACAGUUCUUGAUUUAACAACCCACAAUUUACUUUUAUGAACAAUUAUUGAUAUCUUUUGUUAAGCUAUUCAUCCCUUUGAAUCAAAGAAGUGUGAGUCCUCUUAUGUGUUAUGUGUUAGACUUGUUGAGUUAUCUUAUGCUCAUUCUUGCAAAUAUGUUUCAUUUGCAAUUAAGGAAGUAUUACCAAAAGAGUCUGACAGUAGAACGGUAAAGUUAAAGAAGAAUAGAUAAUUGGUCUUUUUUAUUUGUAAUAAAACUUAAAGUUGUAAUAACUUUAGAGAUUUGAUUAAAAGAGUUGGGAAUUAUUAUAAAAAUGUAUGGUGUACUUUACAAUUAAGCUAAUAAAUGUAGAAGUCAUUUAACUAUGUUAGAUUAAAAGUAUUGACAAUGUCUAGAAAAUUUUGUCAAGGAAAGGGGUCGUCUAAUUGAGCACCGUUUUAACGGAAAACUCCCUCUUUCUUGAGAACUGACUGGUUGCUAAUAAUAAAAGUAUAAGAUAGAUAAAUGGUGAUGAAAUUGAGAAGGGUUUAGUGUUAAAUUGAAGUUAUGGAAUACUCAACAAGAAGUAGGGUUGGAAGAGUUGCAUAUUUAAUAUAUUAAAAUAAGUUGUAAUUUUUAUGACUUUGAGAUGCAACUGAAAAUUGCAAAGUUUACAAUUCUGGAAUAAAGAGUGAUGUUAAGCUUUUAAUUAAAUGAGUUUUUACCAAGUAUAAUAUUAGUGAAUAUUAAAGAAAGAUGUUGCGAUCAAGGGAUAGAGGUAAAAAAUUGAUGUAAUGUCUGAAAUAGACUAAAUAAACAAAUAAAAUUGUUGGUAGAUUUACGUCAACACCAGAUCAGGGGUUGAAGGAGACCAAGAUUUGGGGGUGAGUCGGGGUGUAAACGGAUAUAUACGGAUUCGGAUACAGUAGUAACUGUAUACAUUUAUUUGCGGAUACCUUUAAACCGAAUACAGAUAAUAUCCACUUUUUCCCGAAUACAAAUGCGGACGAAUACGAAUUUUUCGGUUACCAUUUACAACCCUAACUAUAACUAGAAUAAAAAAAGGUAAAAUGCAAGGUUGACCACUGAACUUUAGGGAUUUUUGGGUAUUGAGCCCUUUUCUUUUGGUCAACGCAUUUUGAGCCCUUUUCUAAUAAAAAAUUUGGACUUCGAGCCACUGUUGCUAGAUAUGCGUUGACUUGCUCACGUGGCGCCUACGUGGCAUAUCUGGCGUGGAUAUUUUUAUUUUAAUUUUACAUGUGGCAUAUAUGACGUGGCGAAUAUUGGACUUGAACCCAAAAAAUUUGUUGCUGCUCAAAUUCGAUCUCCAGGCCUCCAACUCGAAAUUUCGAACCAAUGACCACCCGAGCACAACGGGUUAGCUGUUUUAUUUUCGUAAGGAUUAUGAUUUAUAACUGAACAAAGAAUUUUUCCCAAAAUAAAACAAAACCCCUUUUCUUAGAUAUGCUAAGUCUCAGUCUUUAUCUCAUUUCGUUCUUUCGAUCUUCAUCUAUCGCUUUCUCUGAACUGUAAAAUUUCAGUAAGUGUCAUGGUUUUAUCUUGAACAUAAUGAAAUCAGAGAGAAACUGUAAAAUUUCGAAAAUAUAAAUUUUUAGUCAAAUACCAUUAAUUGCAAAGGGAUUGUUAUCCUCCCUUCCUUUGACCAUAUGAAGUCCGCUCUUCCCCUCAUUCACUACAAGGCCCUCAACCGCGUCAAAUUGAAAAGUAAUUCUUAAGAUUUGCUCCAACUUUACAAAGCUUGAGCCGAGUUUAAAGAUCCAUUGUUUCCGCCGGAGUUUAAGAUACACGAUUCUCAAUACAGCAGCGAAGAAGUUGGUUACGUAAUUUCGUCCAUAAGUUUUUUUUUCCCUUUUAUCAUUUCUUAUGAUUCCAUGUAGAAAGAAUUAUAAUAUUCUGCCUCAGGUUUUCUUUUUUUGAUGAAAGAAUUAACUUCUCAUGACGUUUACUUCAUUAUAAUCCAGAGAUUUAUGAUGUUUAUUAUGUAAUUUAUUUGUAUAUAUACUGAUAUUCCUUCAAAUUAGGAAUGUUCAUAAAUUAUACAAUAAAGAUGUAAACACAGGAAGAAAUCUUGAAAAAAUAACAGGGAUGUAUAGGAAAAAGUUGUAUCUAUAUGAUUUUCCUAUAUGAUUUUAUAGAAAAAUAUUGCAUUUUUUCGGAAUUUCUUCAUGUGCUUUUAGUUUUUUGCUUAAUUAUAUGUUCUGUUUCCUCUGGCUUUAGCUAUUUAUGUGUUGAUGGAAAAUUUCAAGCUUUGACUGUCACUCAAGACAUUGGCAUAUCUACGAUCGAAAGAACGAAAUGAGAUAGAGACUGAGACUUAGCAUAUCUAAAAAAAGUGUUUUAAUUUGGAGGAAAUUCUUUGUUCAGUUAUAAAUCAUAAUCCUUGCGAAAAUAAAGCAGCUAACCCGUGGUGCUCGGGUGGUCAUUGGGUCAAAAUUUCGAGUUGGAGGUCUGGAGAUCGAAUCUGAGCAGCAACAAAUUUUUUGGGUUCAAGACCAAUAUUCGUCACGUCAUAUAUGCCACAUGUAAAAUUCAAAUAAAAAUACCCACAUCAGAUAUGCCACGUAGGCGCCACGUUAGCAAGUCAACGCAUAUCUGGCAACAGGGGUUCGAAGUCCAAAUUUUUUAAUAGAAAAGGGCUCAAAAUGCGUUGACCAAAAGAAAAUGGCUUAAUACCCAAAACCCCCUAAAGUUCAGUGGUCAACCUUGCAUUUUACCCGAAUAAAAAAUAAUAAGUUUUAAAAUAUAAUUUAUUAAUGAAUGAAUGUUAAUUUAUUUAUUUUUAAUAAAUAUUUAACUACAAUAAUCAAUGUUCUUUACAAUUCAAAUAAGUUUUCUCAUUUUUGAGAUUCUAAAUUUCAAAAUGAAUGCUCUACUUAUUAAUUUGUAGAUGUCCAUUUUAUGUGUGGAGUAAUAUUGUAGUGUGUAUAAAUAUUUAUAAUUAGAUUCAAAAGUUUACAUUGAAUAUUUAAUUAUUUUUUCUCAAAUCCUUGAUUAGAACUUUAAUAAUAUGUUUAUGGGAACUUUUAUUUAUAAUUUAUCCUCAAUACAUAGAUUACAAUUUACAUAGUUAUAAAAAAUUUAUUUUAUUUCAUUAUAUUUAUGGAGAGUGCGAGUUAUAAUGUAUAUAUAACAACUAACAACUAGUAAAUCCAACUUGAUCCAAAAUUUACUUUAGACUUAUUUUAAACAUUUGGACUUCUAAUUUUUAAAUAAUUGGGAAAAUAAAAGUAAUAAAUACUCUCUUCACCCGAAAAUUCAUAAAAGUGAAUUAAUUAUUAAACCCCUUCUAGAUUAAUUCUAAAUUAAUUCGAACUUAACACAUUUUAACAAUGAAAUUAUAUUGUUCAUUGUUCUCGCCUCCCAACAUUGCAAGUAAGUUUUGAAAGUAAAAAACUUAUAACAAGCUAAUAAUUAUAGUUUUGUUCUUUUGAUAUAUAAUUUUCUUGGUAAAUGAUACAUUUUAGAUAUUUGAACUUUAUAAUAGUAAAAAUCUAUUAACUAUACUUAAAUCAAUUUAUUUUAAUUUAUUAAUAUUAGAAUAAAGGUGUUAUUUCCUACUUUUUAGAAGUGAAAUGAUAUAUUUUUAAAAUAAUUUUCGUAUGAUAGUGAAAAAUAAGUAUUAUAUAAGGAAUGCCACUUAAAAAAAAUUAUUUUGCUUAUUAUAUAAUAAUUAAUAUAUAUAAGUUAUUUGGAUACGAAUUCAAGAUCCGAAUCCGGAUAUCCGCUAUCUGUCGAAUAUAUUUACUGUCGGAUGUUAAACGAAUACGAAUACGCCUAUAUCUGUAUUCGUAUUCGUUUAUUUGUGGAUAUCUUUAAACCGAAUACGAAUAUAUCCGUUUUUUUUGAAUACGGAUGCAAACGAAUACGAAUUUUUUGAUUACCAUUUACAGCCCUAGGCGUGACAUUAGGAAUUGGAAAAAAAGGGUCCAAACCAGUUAACUACUAGUUUGGCAAUUGGGCCUGUUUUUAUUUAAAAAAUAUAAAAUAUGAUUCUAAACUGUAACCGACCCAAAUAAUUUCAAGUAGUUAAUCAACCCAUUGGUUCUAGUUAAUUUGAUUUGACCCGUCAGUUUCUAAACCAAAUUGCCAAGUCUAAGUGCAAUGGCCUCUUUGAAAUGCAUUCCUCCUGUCCUCUAAAUACUCUAAAUAGAAACAGUGCGCAACAUGAUCGCAUGCACUUUCAUAUUAGCAAGAAAUAUCCUACUAUGUAUUGACUUGAGGUCAUCUACCAACGUAGCAUAACCAUCGUGUACAUCUUUCAUUUCAUAGCUUGAUCAUCUAAAUUAUCUCAAAAAGAUGAAGAGCAAGAUUUCAUUACCCUAUGCUUCUCUUGGAUACUAUGGCUCCCUAUAAUUUUCAAAUGCAACAGAAUGUAACAUUCGUCCAAAGGUAGUAGAGGUUUUAUCCAUUUUCCUUUUUUUAAUCUUUUGGAUGAAGAGAUUUUCUAUCAACUAUGAGUUAAUAUUUCCUCCAUAGUUACUCUUGUCAUGGCAAUCUUCAGAGAAUUUCAAGACUACAAAAGUAACCGCUUACUAAAUUAUUUUGCCCCUAUAUUUCUUUCUUCUGUCAUUCCAAUUUAGCAGGCUUAUCCUAACCUUGCCAAUAUUAAGUUUUAAUAUAACACGAUACCUGAUUUCUCCCUUUACCUUUCAACAUCAUGUUGCCAAUAGCUAUCAUCUGUCAAU